rnacentral:ribozyme from 14 species
GCUGCGGCUGGGCUCCUGGCCGAGGAAAGUCCCGCUCCCUCCAGGGCAUGGCGACGCCGACGAGGACAACGAGCUGUGGGCCCCGCUCAGCGACGACAGC